rnacentral:rRNA from 1 species
UACGUAGGGUGCAAGCGUUAAUCGGAAUUACUGGGCGUAAAGCGUGCGCAGGCGGUGAUGUAAGUCAGAUGUGAAAUCCCCGGGCUCAACCUGGGAACUGCAUUUGUGACUGCAUCGCUGGAGUGCGGCAGAGGGGGAUGGAAUUCCGCGUGUAGCAGUGAAAUGCGUAGAUAUGCGGAGGAACACCGAUGGCGAAGGCAGCCCCCUGGGCUAACACUGACGCUCAGGCCCGAAAGCGUGGGGAGCAAACAGG